GUGGGGGAUAUUGCGCAAUGGGGGCAACCCUGACGCAGCAACGCCGCGUGAAGGAUGAAGGUUUUCGGAUUGUAAACUUCUUUUAUCAGGGACGAAGCUUGACGGUACCUGAUGAAUAAGCUCCGGCUAACUACGUGCCAGCAGCCGCGGUAAUACGUAGGGAGCAAGCGUUGUCCGGAUUUACUGGGUGUAAAGGGUGCGUAGGCGGCCGAGUAAGUCAGAUGUGAAAUCUAUGGGCUCAACCCAUAAACUGCAUUUGAAACUACCCGGCUUGAGUGAAGUAGAGGCAGGCGGAAUUCCCUGUGUAGCGGUGAAAUGCGUAGAGAUAGGGAGGAACACCAGUGGCGAAGGCGGCCUGCUGGGCUUUAACUGACGCUGAGGCACGAAAGCGUGGGUAGCAAACAGGAUUAGAAACCCUAGUAGUCC
rnacentral:rRNA from 1 species